rnacentral:rRNA from 3 species
AAUGUAUAGCAAUAGCUACUUGCAUCAUUGUAAAUAUGAUGCAAGAUCGACUAUGUCGAAUAAAAUUCUAGGUAGAAUUAUGAUAAUGACAUUGUCUGCCUAUGUGUCUUGACCAAAUUACGUGCCAGCAGUCGCGGUAAUACGUAGAAGACUAGUGUUAUUCAUGUUUAAUCGGUUUAAAGGGUACCUAGACGGUAAAUCAAGCCUAAAAGGAAAUAAAUGAAGGGACUAAUUUACUAGAGUUACUUAUGAGGGGGUAUUAAAGUACUGCUGGUGUAGAGAUGAAAUUCUGUCAUACCUCUUUUCAAUAGAAAAAUAAUGGCACAGGUAUAGGCGAAAGCAUCCCCUUAUGUGAUAACUGACGUUGAGGGACGAAGGCUUUGUGUAGCGAACAGGAUUAGAUACCCCAGUAGUCAAAGCAGAAAAUGAUGAAUGUCAUAGAUUAGAUAUAUAAGUUUAUUCUAUAAAUGAAAGUGUAAGCAUUCCACCUCAAGAGUAAUUUGGCAACAUUGGAACUGAAAUCAUUAGACCGUUUCUGAAACCAGUAGUGAAGUAUGUUGUUUAAUUUGAUGAUCCGCAAAAAACCUUACCACAAUUUGAAUAUUUAUAUCUUUUAUUGUUUUUCUUUUUAACUUUUUCUAAUUUUCUACUUAAAAGAAAAAAAUAACAAGAAAAAAGAGACAAUAAGAUAUAUUUACAAGCGUUGCACGGCUGUCUUCAGUUAAUGUCGCGAGACUAUGGUUAGUUCCAUUAAAUUAACGUAAACCCUUACUUUAUUUUUAUAUAGAGUAGUUCCCCGCUAUAUUGGAUAUGAUAACAGG